GCAAGUCGAGCGAGAAAGCACUUCGGUGCGAGUACAGCGGCGGACGGGUGAGUAACGCGUAGGAAUCUACCUGGUAGUGGGGGACAACAUGGUGAAAACCAUGCUAAUACCGCAUACGUCCUACGGGAGAAAGCGGGGGAUCUUCGGACCUCGCGCUAUAGGAUGAGCCUGCGUAGGAUUAGCUUGUUGGUGAGGUAAAAGCUCACCAAGGCGACGAUCCUUAGCUGGUCUGAGAGGAUGAUC
rnacentral:rRNA from 1 species